AGCGAACGCUGGCGGCAGGCCUAACACAUGCAAGUCGAACGAACUCUUCGGAGUUAGUGGCGGACGGGUGAGUAACACGUGGGAACGUGCCUUUAGGUUCGGAAUAACUCAGGGAAACUUGUGCUAAUACCGAAUGUGCCCUUCGGGGGAAAGAUUUAUCGCCUUUAGAGCGGCCCGCGUCUGAUUAGCUAGUUGGUGAGGUAAAGGCUCACCAAGGCGACGAUCAGUAGCUGGUCUGAGAGGAUGAUCAGCCACAUUGGGACUGAGACACGGCCCAAACUCCUACGGGAGGCAGCAGUGGGGAAUCUUGCGCAAUGGGCGAAAGCAUGACGCAGCCAUGCCGCGUGAAUGAUGAAGGUCUUAGGAUUGUAAAAUUCUUUCAACGGGGACGAUAAUGACGGUACCCGGAGAAGAAGCCCCGGCUAACUUCGUG
rnacentral:rRNA from 1 species